GGCAACCGGAUGACAGCCCUUGCUCCGGACUCCUAAUCCGACGGUCGCGGGUUCAAAUCCUGCCGGGCGCACCA
rnacentral:tRNA from 1 species